CAGUAAGUAGUUUAAUAUAAAAAUUUUAAUUUUGGAGAUUAAAGAUAAGUUUUACUUUUUACUGA
rnacentral:tRNA from 1 species